rnacentral:rRNA from 1 species
UUAAGCGUCCAUACCACGUUGGCUUUCGUCCGAUCACCAAAGUUAAGGACCGUCGGGCGCGGUCAGUAAUUGGAUGGGUGACCGCCUGGGAACACUGCGUGACGUUGGCU